AGAGUUUGAUCCUGGCUCAGGACGAACGCUGGCGGCGUGCUUAACACAUGCAAGUCGAACGGAAAGGCCCUUCGGGGUACUCGAGUGGCGAACGGGUGAGUAACACGUGGGUGAUCUGCCCUGCACUUUGGGAUAAGCCUGGGAAACUGGGUCUAAUACCGAAUACACCUUGCUGGAUGCAUGUCUGGUGGGGGAAAGCUUUUGCGGUGUGGGAUGGGCCCGCGGCCUAUCAGCUUGUUGGUGGGGUGAUGGCCUACCAAGGCGACGACGGGUAGCCGGCCUGAGAGGGUGUCCGGCCACACUGGGACUGAGAUACGGCCCAGACUCCUACGGGAGGCAGCAGUGGGGAAUAUUGCACAAUGGGCGCAAGCCUGAUGCAGCGACGCCGCGUGGGGGAUGACGGCCUUCGGGUUGUAAACCCCUUUCAGUAGGGACGAAGCGCAAGUGACGGUACCUACAGAAGAAGGACCGGCCAACUACGUGCCAGCAGCCGCGGUAAUACGUAGGGUCCGAGCGUUGUCCGGAAUUACUGGGCGUAAAGAGCUCGUAGGUGGUUUGUCGCGUUGUUCGUGAAAACUCACAGCUUAACUGUGGGCGUGCGGGCGAUACGGGCAGACUGGAGUACUGCAGGGGAGACUGGAAUUCCUGGUGUAGCGGUGGAAUGCGCAGAUAUCAGGAGGAACACCGGUGGCGAAGGCGGGUCUCUGGGCAGUAACUGACGCUGAGGAGCGAAAGCGUGGGGAGCGAACAGGAUUAGAUACCCUAGUAGUCC
rnacentral:rRNA from 1 species